rnacentral:rRNA from 1 species
AGAGUUUGAUCAUGGCUCAGAAUCAACGCUGGCGGCGUGCCUCAGACAUGCAAGUCGAACGAUUAAAGCUCUCUUCGGAGAGUGCAUAAAGUGGCGCACGGGUGAGUAACACGUAAGUAAUCUACCCUCGAGUGGGGAAUAACGUCCGGAAACGGACGCUAAUACCGCAUAAUGCAGCGGCACCGCAAGGUGACAGUUGUUAAAGAUUUAUCGCUUGAGGAGGAGCUUGCGGCAGAUUAGCUAGUUGGUAAGGUAAUGGCUUACCAAGGCAACGAUCUGUAUCCGGUCUAAGAGGACGGUCGGACACACUGACACUGAAUAACGGGUCAGACUCCUACGGGAGGCAGCAGUCGGGAAUUUUGGGCAAUGGGGGAAACCCUGACCCAGCAACGCCGCGUGAAGGAUGAAGUAUUUCGGUAUGUAAACUUCGAAAGAAUGGGAAGAAUCAAUGACGGUACCAUUUAUAAGGUCCGGCUAACUACGUGCCAGCAGCCGCGGUAAUACGUAGGGACCAAGCGUUGUUCGGAUUUACUGGGCGUAAAGGGCGCGUAGGCGGCGUGACAAGUCACUUGUGAAAUCUCUGGGCUUAACCCAGAACGGCCAAGUGAAACUGUCGUGCUAGAGUGCGGAAGGGGCAAUCGGAAUUCUCGGUGUAGCGGUGAAAUGCGUAGAUAUCGAGAGGAACACCUGAGGUGAAGACGGGUUGCUGGGCCGACACUGACGCUGAGUGCGCGAAAGCCAGGGGAGCAAACGGGAUUAGAUACCCUAGUAGUCC